UUCUGUAUGUGACACGGCACCAGAGUUAAGUUAGGGUUUUUUAAAAUGCUGACACGCUGAGCUCAAAAGGUUCGGCAUCACUGUCAUAGGGACUAGUUUAAAGG